UUUCCGUAGGUGAACCUGAGGAAGGAUCAUUAUUGUAUAAUCGAGGUGCGAGGGCUGUCGCUGACCCGAAAGUUCGUGCACGCCCGAGUGCUCUCACACACAUCCAUCUCACCCCUAUGUGCACCACCGCGUGGGUCCCCCUUUGGCUUGUUCGGAGGGGGGCUUACGUUUUCACACAAACUUUGUAUGCAGUGUAGAAUGUAUUUUUUGUUUUUGCGAUCACGCAAUCAAUACAACUUUCAACAACGGAUCUCUUGGCUCUC
rnacentral:misc_RNA from 1 species